rnacentral:lncRNA from 1 species
UAUAUAAAAAGUAUGAGAAGCUGGCUGCAAGCUCUGCAAGCACGAACACGCAGACAUGGCACACGUCUUAUGG